CCUACGGGGGGCAGCAGUAGGGAAUAUUGCUCAAUGGGGGAAACCCUGAAGCAGCAACGCCGCGUGGAGGAUGAAGGUUUUCGGAUUGUAAACUCCUUUUGUUAGAGAAGAUAAUGACGGUAUCUAACGAAUAAGCACCGGCUAACUCCGUGCCAGCAGCCGCGGUCAUACGGAGGGUGCAAGCGUUACUCGGAAUCACUGGGCGUAAAGGGCGCGUAGGCGGGAUAGUAAGUCAGAUGUGAAAUGCUAUGGCUUAACCAUAGAACUGCAUUAGAAACUGUUAUUCUAGAGUAAGGGAGAGGUAGGUGGAAUUCGUGGUGUAGGGGUAAAAUGCGUAGAGAUCAAGAGGAAUACUCAUUGCGAAGGCGACCUGCUAGAACAUAACUGACGCUGAUGCGCGAAAGCGUGGGGAGCAAACAGGAUUAGAUACCCGUGUAGUC
rnacentral:rRNA from 1 species